UGCUCAACAUCAUCUCUAUCAAAAUCAUCACGAGAUUGACUACCAUAAACUCCAGCAGUUUCAGCAUUUUGUCUGAAAUUAAACCAACAAGUAGUUCUUGAACCACAAUUUGGCCCUAAUCCAUUUGGUCUACACCAUCCUAUACUUUUCAAUUUCGAAAAACCCAUAAAACAAGAAUUCAAUCUUACUGAACAUGAUGAAAAAAAAUUGGGUCUUGAAGAAGAGAAAGUUAAGUGGAGAGUACAUG
rnacentral:misc_RNA from 1 species